rnacentral:rRNA from 1 species
UCAAGAGGAAGAAAAAGUAGUAGCAAAAUAUCCGUUGGUGGUCCACCGGAGGGAUCAUUCUUGGUCAUUAGAGGAAGUAAAAGUCGUAACAAGGUCUCCGUUGGUGAACCAGCGGAGGGAUCAUUACCGAGUCACGGAACUCCACAACCCCCUGCGAACCUUACCCCAGCGUUGCCUCGGCGGGAUCGCCCCGGCGCCCCAUCGGGCCCGGGAACGCGGCGCCCGCCGGAGGACCCCAGUAACACUCCUCGCCUCAGCGGCAUCUUCCGGGUGAGAGCCAUCACGAAUGAGUCAAAACUUUCAACAACGGAUCUCUUGGUUCUGGCAUCGAUGAAGAACGCAGCGAAAUGCGAUAAGUAAUGUGAAUUGCAGAAUUCAGUGAACCAUCGAAUCUUUGAACGCACAUUGCGCCCGCCAGCACUCUGGCGGGCAUGCCUGUCCGAGCGUCAUUUCAGCCCUCGAGCCCGCCCGGCUCGGCGUUGGGGCCCGGCCCGCCGCGGCCGCCCCCCAAAUCCAGUGGCGACCCCGCCGCGAAACGCGAACCAGCCUCGCUGGAGAGUUGACCUCGGAUCAGGCAGGGGUACCCGCUGAACUUAAGCAUAUCAAUAAGCGGAGGAA